rnacentral:lncRNA from 1 species
AUUGUAUUUUGCUUCCGUUUAUCACGCAUUAUUAAUUACUAGGGGAGGCUAGCGAUAGCAAGCCGGUAAUUAGUAAUAGGCUCUUUUCGCCAAGGGAUUGGGUUAAGGGUAGACCAAGAAAGUUUGCAUGACAAUAUGAUAAAUAAGCAAAUUAAAUAAGAAGAGUAGAUAUAUGAGGGUAGAUAAGAUGAAAUUGUAAACCCCAAC